rnacentral:rRNA from 1 species
UACGUAGGUGGCAAGCGUUGUCCGGAUUUAUUGGGUUUAAAGGGCGCGUAGGCGGCUUUGUAAGUCAGUGGUGAAAUAUGGCAGCUCAACUGUCAGGGUGCCAUUGAUACUGCGGAGCUUGAGUACAGAUGAGGUAGGCGGAAUUGACGGUGUAGCGGUGAAAUGCUUAGAUAUCGUCAAGAACACCGAUAGCGAAGGCAGCUUACUGGGCUGUAACUGACGCUGAGGCACGAAAGUGUGGGGAUCAAACAGG